GCGGUCUUAGUAUAGUGGUCUAGUACAGCUCGUUGUGGCCGAGCAGACGGAUGUUCGAUUCCUCCAGACCGCA
rnacentral:tRNA from 2 species